rnacentral:tRNA from 1 species
GGCCGUGUGGCGAAAUGGCAUCGCGUCUGACUACGAUAAAUCGUUAAUCAGGAGAUUGCAGGUUCGACCCCUGUCUCGGUCA